GACGAACUUGCGCGUGUUAACACAUGCAAGUCGAACGAAGAGCGAUGGAAGUUGCUUCUACAUUAGUGCGAAGGUGAGUAGCUAAUCAACCUCCUUCAGAGGGGGAAACAGUUGGAAAGACUGCUAAUCCCAUACGAUUAACCUCGCAUCGAGGUGGUGAAAGUGCCUCAUUAUAAGUUCACUGAAGAGGGGAGCGUCUGACUAGUUGGAGGGGUAACGCCCACCAAGGCGUGUCAGUAGCCGCUGAGAGGAUGAACGCCACAUGGGACUGAGACACGCCAGACUCUACGGGAGGCAGCAGUGGGAUCCGCAAUGGACGAAAGUCUGACGGAGCAACGCGCGUGAGUGAUGACGGCCUUCGGGUGUAAGCUCUGUUAAUCGGGACGAAAGGCCUCUCGAAUAGUGAAGGAUUGACGGACCGGAAUAGAAACC
rnacentral:rRNA from 1 species